ACAAGCCUCACCCUAUGGCCACCACAACCAGAGGCCCACAGAGAGUACUGCCAGACUGGCGCCAAUGUUCCCUUAAGGCCCAAGGGCUCUUCGGUCAGUUUGUGGCAGGAGUCUUGCCCUAUAGUCACCAAAGCUGGGAAUGUGCUGAGUCUCACCUCAACCCGGAGAGUCUCAGAGACUCAUCAAGACUUUCGAUGUAGUACCUGGAUAUCACUGGCGGUUAUCAAGAGAUCAAGGGCUCUUCAGUUAGCAGCUGAUGAAUGCCACAAGGACUGGCUUCUUCCUUUCAAGGCAACAUGUUCCCUUAUGGCCCAGGUUGUGUCUAGAAAUGUCAUCCACCAUCUUGCUCUGACCCCUCCUCAGUGUGACCAUUUUGGAAGGCAGUUUGAUAGUUUCUUACAAAGCUUGUCGUACUCUUACCAUAUGAUCCUGUAAUCAUGCUACUUGUAUUUAUCCAAAUGAGUUGAAAACUUGUAUCCACAAAAAACCUUCGCGAGUGUUUAUAGCAGCAUUAUUCAUAAUUGCCCAAACUUCUAAGCAACUACGAUGUCCUUCCAAUAAGUAAAUUGAUAAAUACACUGUGUUACAUCUGUACAAUGAAAUAUUAUUCAGCACUAAAAGGAAAUGACCUAUCAAGCCACAAAAGACAUGGAGGAACUUUAAACACAUAUUGCCACAUGAAAGAAGUCAAUCUGAAAGGCUGCAUUCUGUAUUAUUCCAACUAAAUGACAUUCUAGAAAAGGCAAAACUACAGUGACAAUAAAAUAAUUCAGUGGUUACCAGGUGUUUGGAGGAAGAGAGAGAGGGAUGAGUAGGUGGAGCACAGAGCAUUUUUAGGGCAGUGAAACUAUUCUGUAUGAUCCUGUAAUAGUGGAUACUUAUUACACAUUCCUCAAAAUCCAUAGAACGUUCAACACAAAGAGUGAGCCUUCAUAUAGACUAUAGACUUUAGUUAACAGUCUAUCAACAUUAGUUUGGGGUGGGGGAAAAGAAAAAAUUAGUAAAUAAAUAAAAUUUAGUAAUAAGUUUACUAAGUAAAUUCUAUUGUAUGGCCUAUAUACAAGAGAAUAUAUUUUUAAUUUUAAUUUUUUACAAAUAGAAUAUUUUGCAGCUAUUAAAAAAGGAUGAUACACUCUGAAAAGACAAAACUAUAAGGACAGAAAACAGGUUAGUUGUUACUUAAGGACUAGGGGAGGGAUUGACUAUGAAGGAGUAGCUUGAGGGAAUUUCUGGGAUGAUGGAACUGUUCUGAAUUGUGAUUGUGGUAGCAAUUAUACCACUGAGUGUGUCAGUAAAAACUCAUAGAAUUGUAGAAUGAAAAAUUAUUUUAUUAUGCAUGAUUUUUUAAAGUAAAUAAAAACAGAUUAGGGAAUUUAAAAAAGUUUUUUAUGUAGAAAAAAGGAAGUAAUAGCAUUCCAAUUGUGAAAGUUCACAGUAGGCAAGGGCAUUCUUUUUAGUUAACAAAUGCUUCACUUAGAAUGAUUACUUAGGAUAGAAGGGUCCUUCAAGAUCAGUAAACACUCCACAUGCACGCUCAUUUUGCAGAGGGAGAAACACGCACAGAAAGAAGGGAGUUUCCCAAGGUUAUAUGCAAAUUAGUGGAUACUUUGUAUAGUUUCAGUCUUUUGAAGUUUACCGAGAAUUAUUUUUUGGCCUAACAUAAAUGUCUUUUCUUGGAGAAUGUGUAUUCUACUGCUGUUGGGUCUUCUGUUCUCUGUAUGUCUGUUAGGUUUUUUUUUUUAACUUUUUUAUUGGAUUUUAGGUUUCGGGGUACAUGAGAAGACCAUGCAAAACAGUUGCGUAGGCACACACAUGGCAGUGUGCUUUGCUUUCCUUUUCCCCUUCACCCACAUUUGGUAUUUUUCCCCAGGCCAUCCCUCCCCACCUCCCCCUCCCACUGGCCCUCCCCUUUCCCCCCUAAUAGACCCCAGUGUUUAGUACUCCCCUUUCUGUGUCCAUGUGUUCUCAUUUUUCAUCACCCGCCUAUGAGUGAGAAUAUGCGGUGUUUCAUUUUCUGUUCUUGUGUCAGUUUGCUGAGGAUGAUGUUCUCCAGAUUCAUCCAUGUCCCUACAAACGACACAAACUCAUCAUUUCUGAUUGCUGCAUAAUAUUCCAUGGUGUAUAUGUGCCAUAUUUUUCCAAUCCAGUCUAUCAUCAAUGGGCAUUUGGGUUGAUUCCAGGUCUUUGCUAUUGUAAACAGUGCUGCAAUGAACAUUCGUGUACAUGUGUCCUUAUAGUAGAACGAUUUAUAGUCUUUUGGAUAUAUACCCAGUAAUGGUAUAUAUACAUCCAGGGUAUUUUAUUCUUUAUGCAGCAAUUGUGAAUGGCAGUUCGUUCUUGAUUUGGCUUUCUUUAAGUCUGUUAUUGGUGUAGACGAAUGCUUGUGAUUUUUGCACAUUGCUGGGUCAAGUGGAAUUUCUAUUUCUAAGGCCUUGAGGAAUCGCCACACUGUCUUCCACAAUGGUUGAACUAAUUUACACUCCCACCAACAGUGUAAAAGUGUUCCUUUUCUCCACAUCCUCUCCAGCAUCUGUUGUCUCCAGAUUUUUAAUGAUUGCCAUUCUAACUGGCGUGAGAUGGUAUCUCAAUGUGGUUUUGAUUUGCAUCUCUCUGAUGACCAGUGACGAUGAGCAUUUUUUCAUAUGAUUGUUGGCCUCAGAUAGGUCUUCUUUCAUUAAGUGUCUGUUCAUAUCCUUUGUCCACUUUUGAAUGGGCUUGUUUGUUCUUUUUUCUGUAAAUCUGUUUGAGUUCUCUGUAAAUCCUGGAUAUCAGCCCUUUGUCAGAUGGGUAAACUGCAAAAUUUUUUUUCCCAUUCUGUUGGUUGCCGAUCCACUCUAGUAACUGUUUCUUUUGCCAUGCAGAAGCUGUGGAGUUUGAUUAGGUCCCAUUUUUCUAUUUUGGCUUUUCUUGCCAAUGCUUUUGGUGUUUUGUUCACGAAGUCCUUGCCUACUCCUAUGUCCUAGAUAGUUUUGUCUAGAUUUCCUUCUAGGGUUUUUAUGGUGCCAGGUCUUAUGUUUAAGUCUUUAAUCCAUCUGGAGUUAACUUUAGUGUGAGGUGUCAGGAAGGGG
ensembl:lncRNA